UGUCGUCCCGCCAGGGGCGCAGCAGGGUAGCUAUGUAUGGACGGGAUAACCGCUGAAAGCAUCUAAGCGGGAAGCCUCCCUCAAGAUUAGAUUUCAUCGAGUCGUGAUAGACCAUCACGUUGAUAGGCCGGGUGUGGAAGUGCGGUAACGCAUGGAGCUAACCGGUCCUAAUCACUCUGUUCAUGCUUGA
rfam:Beta vulgaris subsp. vulgaris contig168348.1, whole genome shotgun sequence.